rnacentral:rRNA from 1 species
UACGUAGGGUGCGAGCGUUUAAUCGGAAUUACUGGGCGUAAAGCGUGCGCAGGCGGUUUUGUAAGCCAGAUGUGAAACCUCCGGGCUUAACCUGGGAAUGGCAUUUGGGACUGCAAGGCUUGAGUGCGGCAGAGGAGACUGGAAUUCCUGGUGUAGCAGUGAAAUGCGUAGAUAUCAGGAGGAAUACCGAUGGCGAAGGCAGGUCUCUGGGCUGACACUGACGCUCAUGCACGAAAGCGUGGGGAGCAAACAGG